UGGCUCAGACGGUAAAAGCAUCUGCCUGCAAUGCGGGUGACCCAGGUUCGAUCCCUGG
rnacentral:tRNA from 1 species